CUUGAAUGGGUAGACACCAAAAGCCACCCUGUACCUCCUACCUGCAUGACCACGGAGAGGACAUGAGGAAGAAGAAUGGAAAAUCCACCUCAACCUUAAAGUGGAGAGCACUGGUGUGAGAGAAAGAACAACCAUAAAAAAGGGAUUCUCCAGGAAGAUGGCUGAUCUAGUUUCCAUUGGGUAGUCACCAAAACAGAGAAGGUCCAAUCCUAUUUCUGAUGUUGAUAAAAAGUUUCCUUGUUUACAUUUACAAAGGUGGAAGUGAGGAGUGGCUGUAUGGUGCUCAGCUUCCUUCUGGCUUAAACCAUUACAGUGCUGAAAAGACAAAAGACCUAUUUUCAGAAAAUCAUGGAAUUGUUUGAGUUGAAACCAACUCCCCUGCAAUCAAUGGGAACAUCUACAGCCACAUCAGAUUGCUCACAGGGGGAAUUCAGAUGUCAAAUCUCCAUGGAUUGUCAUUUUUACUCUAACAGGAAACUCUGAAGUACUAAGAGAAAUGCAAGAAAUAAUAUUUAUGACUGAGAGAUUUUGAUCUUUACAAAAAUUUAAAAAUAAAAAAUAA